rnacentral:lncRNA from 1 species
AUAACUGAGGAAUUACACAGCAAUUAACAAAGCAAAAAUGUAAAGAAGCAACUAAGAAGCCAAACAAGCAUACAAAGCAAGCAAGUAAACAGCAAAUUAAGACACAUAUAAUAUAACUAAGGAAGAAUGAACCUAAAGAAGCAAGCAAAGAAACAAAGAAUCACAGAAGCAAGCAAAGAAACAACGAAUCACAAAAUCAAGCAAAGAAACAACGAAUCAGAGAAGCAAGCAAAGAACAAUGAAUCAGAGAAGCAAGCAAGCAAAGAAACAAAGAAUCACAGAAGCAAGCAAGCAAGUAAAGAAACAACGAAUCACAAAAUCAAGCAAAGAAACAACGAAUCAUAAAAUCAAGCAAAGAAACAACGAAUCACAAUAUCAAGCAAAGAAAUAACGAAUCAGAGAAGCAAGCAAGCAAAGAAACAACGAAUCAUAGAAGCAAGCAAUCAAAAAAAAAAAACGAAUCACAGAAGUAAGUAACAAGCAUACAAGGAAUCAAAUAAGAAAGCAAAAAAAAAAAAAAAGUAAACAAGAAAUUAAAAGGCAUAGAAGUAAGGAAGCAAGCAAAAAAAACAACCAAAACAACGAAUCACAGAAGCAAGUAAGAGUCAAAACCAAGGAACCGUAGCCAAGGAAACUAGCAAUUAAGCAAAAAUUUAAACAAAGACUGAAAAAAAGAAGAAGACGAAAGAUCGUACCUUUAACAUUCGAUUGCUAAAGCCAAAACCCUAAAGAUUAAGUGAGAAAGAAGUAGUAGGAUCAUACCUUUUUGUUUCAUUGUGAUUGAAACUGUAGCAAUUCAAGUUGAAUUCCCAAGAAAUCCCUAAAAAAUCAACACCCAAAUCCCUAAAAAAUUUCCCGAAAAAAUCACAAAAUAAAAAAAAACUGAAGAAUCGUAUUAUGUAUAAGAGAAUUUAUACCUUAGAAUAUGAGAAUUUAGACAUAAUCUGAUCAUAAUCAGACUGAAUCGAAGAAGAAAAACAAAGAGAUGGAGAAGAAAGAGAUUGUAAAUCGCCAACGGAGGAGAGCUUUUGGGAAUCGGCGAGCGUUCUUAAAUUUUAUUUCCGUUAUCUCGACAUUCAUAUGUACAUAUUAAAAAAUGGAAAUUUAAAAUUACAAAUUCGAAAAGAGAAAAGAAAAGGCCCAAUAACAAAAAAAAAGCCCAAUAAUGUCCGUAAUUA